GUACUUCCAUUUCUCCAAACGCUUCAAAUCAAAAAGCUCAAAGCCUUCUCUGGAAUACUUUCCUGCUUCUUGACUUGCUGCAGAAAGCCCGGUAAAUUUGCCAAGCUCAUCAUCUUUAACAUAUCCUUAAACAUGACAUAUUUUCUGAAGAUAUAAAUUGAAUCUUGUGCUCAAUAAUUGUGCCCCGUCUCAAUUCACAAUUAGGCCUCUUCCAACGAGGCUCCAGACACUCCUACAUGGCAGUUAACGGCAAGUGAACUUGGACCCGCACUUCAUGUCAUUCUGCCCAAGAGGCGGUUUGACCGAACCACCUGAAGGGGCCAGACCUCUAUGGAGGCAUGAACUGAUUUGCUGUAGUAAACCACAUGAAGAAUUGAACCAGCAUGGCGAGAGAUGAGGCUGCAAGAGGCUUAACAAGAUAUC
rnacentral:lncRNA from 1 species